rnacentral:rRNA from 1 species
AGUGAACGCUGGCGGUAGGCCUAACACAUGCAAGUCGAACGGCAGCACAGUAAGAGCUUGCUCUUACGGGUGGCGAGUGGCGGACGGGUGAGGAAUACAUCGGAAUCUACUUUUUCGUGGGGGAUAACGUAGGGAAACUUACGCUAAUACCGCAUACGACCUACGGGUGAAAGCAGGGGAUCUUCGGACCUUGCGCGAUUGAAUGAGCCGAUGUCGGAUUAGCUAGUUGGCGGGGUAAAGGUCCACCAAGGCGACGAUCCGUAGCUGGUCUGAGAGGAUGAUCAGCCACACUGGAACUGAGACACGGUCCAGACUCCUACGGGAGGCGGCAGUGGGGAAUAUUGGACAAUGGGCGCAAGCCUGAUCCAGCCAUACCGCGUGGGUGAAGAAGGCCUUCGGGUUGUAAAGCCCUUUUGUUGGGAAAGAAAAGCAGCAGGUUAAUACCCCGCUGUUCUGACGGUACCCAAAGAAUAAGCACCGGCUAACUUCGUG